rnacentral:rRNA from 1 species
UACGUAGGUGACCAGCGUUGUCCGGAUUUACUGGGCGUAAAGAGCGCGCAGGCGGUCGUUCAAGUCGGGUGUGAAAGCCCCCGGCUCAACUGGGGAGGGUCACUCGAUACUGAUCGACUUGAAGGCAGGAGAGGGAAGCGGAAUUCCCGGUGUAGUGGUGAAAUUCGUAGAUAUUGGGAAGAACACCGGUGGCGAAGGCGGCGACCUGGUCCUUGACUGACGCUGAGGCGCGAAAGCGUGGGGAGCAAACAGG